GCUUGUCUAGCUCAGUUGGUGGAGUGCAAGUCUCUUAGCUUUGUGGUUGUGGGUUCAAGCCCCAUGAUGGGUG
rnacentral:tRNA from 1 species